rnacentral:tRNA from 1 species
GGAGAGGUGGCCGAGAGGCUUAAGGCGGCGGUUUGCUAAACCGUUAUACGUUUCUAACGUAUCGAGGGUUCGAAUCCCUUCCUUUCCGCCA